CUCCUGUCACUGCAGAACAAGGGUACAUUUCUUAAUAAACAGUGUAUUUGAUGGUAUGUGGAGAGGAAGGGACGGCUAACUCUGUGC
rnacentral:rRNA from 1 species